AACGCGAAGAACCUUACCGGGGCUUGACAUCUGCGGAAAUCCUAUGAAAGUAGGCUUCGGGGCAACCCGACCGCAAGACAGGUGCUGCAUGGCUGUCGUCAGCUCGUGCCGUGAGGUGUUGGGUUAAGUCCCGCAACGAGCGCAACCCUUGUCGUGUGUUGGUCCACAAAGAUCUCUCACACGAGACCGCCGAUGAGAAGUCGGAGGAAGGUGGGGAUGACGUCAAGUCCGCAUGGCCCUUACGUCCCGGGCUACACACGUGCUACAAUGCGCCGGACAACGAGCCGCGAACUCGCAAGAGUAAGCCAAUCUCUUAAACCGGUGCUCAGUUCGGAUUGAAGGCUGCAACUCGCCUUCAUGAAGUCGGAAUCGCUAGUAAACGCAGAUCAGCUACGCUGCGUUGAAUACGUUCCCGGGCCUUGUACACACCGAGACGAC
rnacentral:rRNA from 1 species